rnacentral:rRNA from 1 species
GACGAACGCUGGCGGCGGGCUUAACACAUGCAAGUCGAACGGAAAGGCCCUGCUUGUGUGGGGUGCUCGAGUGGCGAACGGGUGUGUAACACGUGAGUAACCUGCCCUUGACUUUGUGAUAACUUCAGGAAACCGGGGCUAAUACCGGAUAGGAGCUCCUGCUGCAUGGGGGGGGUUGGAAAGUUUAGGCGGAGGGGGAUGGACUCGGGGCUAAUCAGCUUGUUGGUGGGGUAGUGGCUUACCAAGGCUUUGACGGGUAGCCGGCAUGGGAGGGUGACCGGCCACAAGGGGCCUGAGGUACGGCCCAGACUCCUACGGUGGACAGCAGGGGGAAAUAUUGUACAGUGGGGGGACGCCUGAUGCAGAGACCCCGCGUGCGUGAUGACGGCCUUGGGGUGGUAAACCGCAUUCAGCUGUGACGAAGCGUGAGUGACGGUAAUAGGUAAAGAAGCACCGGCUAACUACGUG